rnacentral:rRNA from 1 species
GACGAACGCUGGCGGCGUGCCUAACACAUGCAAGUCGAGCGGAGACAGUGAGUAGCUUGCUAUGAGCUGUUUUAGCGGCGGACGGGUGAGUAACGCGUGAGCAACCUUUCCCAGACAGGGGAAUAACACACCGAAAGGUGUACUAAUACCGCAUAAGACCACGGAAUCACAUGGUUCUGAGGUAAAAGAUUUAUCGGUUUGGGGUGGGCUCGCGUCCGAUUAGGUAGUUGGUGAGGUAACGGCCCACCAAGCCGACGAUCGGUAGCCGACCUGAGAGGGUGAUCGGCCACAUUGGGACUGAGACACGGCCCAAACUCCUACGGGAGGCAGCAGUGGGGAAUAUUGGGCGAUGGAGGAAACUCUGACCCAGCAACGCCGCGUGGAGGAAGAAGGUUUUCGGAUCGUAAACUCCUGUCCUUGGAGACGAGUAGAAGACGGUAUCCAAGGAGGAAGCCCCGGCUAACUACGUGCCAGCAGCCGCGGUAAUACGUAGGGGGCAAGCGUUGUCCGGAAUAAUUGGGCGUAAAGGGCGCGUAGGCGGCUCGGUAAGUCUGGAGUGAAAGUCCUGCUUUUAAGGUGGGAAUUGCUUUGGAUACUGUCGGGCUUGAGUGCAGGAGAGGUUAGUGGAAUUCCCAGUGUAGCGGUGAAAUGCGUAGAGAUUGGGAGGAACACCAGUGGCGAAGGCGACUAACUGGACUGUAACUGACGCUGAGGCGCGAAAGUGUGGUGAGCAAACAGAAUUAGAUACCCUGGUAGUCCACACUGUAAACGAUGAA